rnacentral:rRNA from 1 species
CGCCUGUUUAUCAAAAACAUCUUUUCUUGUUAGUUUUUGAAGUAUGGCCUGCCCGCUGACUUGAGUGUUGAAGGGCCGCGGUAUUUUGACCGUGCAAAGGUAGCAUAAUCAUUAGUUCUUUAAUUGUGAUCUGGAAUGAAUGGCUUGACGAGGCACCGGCUGUCUUAGUGAUGAAUGUUAUAUUGAAUUUGGUCUUUGAGUUAUAAUUCUUAUAUGUUUUUGUGGGACGAGAAGACCCUAUAGAGUUUUACCUUUGGUUUGUUUAUUUCUUUGUUGUUUGUUUUGUUUUUGGUAAGCGGGCUAUUUGUUUUGUUGCGGUGAUGAGACCAAUAUAAUUUAACUCCUCUUGGUUUUGGUUAUAUUGAUUUGUAUUUAUUUGAUCCAUUUAUUUUGUUUAUAAGAUUAAAUUUCCUUAGGGAUAACAGCGUAA